UACGUAGGUGGCAAGCGUUGUCCGGAUUUACUGGGUGUAAAGGGCGUGUAGGCGGGGCGAAAAGUCUGAUGUGAAAUCCCACGGCUCAACCGUGGAACCGCAUCGGAAACUUUCGCUCUUGAGUAUCGGAGAGGAAAGCGGAAUUCCUAGUGUAGCGGUGAAAUGCGUAGAUAUUAGGAGGAACACCGGUGGCGAAGGCGGCUUUCUGGCCGAAAACUGACGCUGAGGCGCGAAAGCGUGGGGAG
rnacentral:rRNA from 1 species